CCUACGGGAGGCAGCAGUGGGGGAUAUUGCACAAUGGGGGGAACCCUGAUGCAGCGACGCCGCGUGGGUGAAGAAGCGCCUCGGCGCGUAAAGCCCUGUCAGCAGGGAAGAAAAUGACGGUACCUGAAGAAGAAGCCCCGGCUAACUACGUGCCAGCAGCCGCGGUAAUACGUAGGGGGCAAGCGUUAUCCGGAUUUACGGGGUGUAAAGGGGGAGCAGACGGCGAUGCAAGCCAGGAGUGAAAGCCCGGGGACCAACCCCGGGACUGCUCUUGGAACUGCGUGGCUGGAGUGCAGGAGGGGCAUGCGGAAUUCCUGGUGUAGCGGUGAAAUGCGUAGAUAUCAGGAGGAACACCGGUGGCGAAGGCGGCCUGCUGGACUGCAACUGACGUUGAGGCCCGAAAGCGUGGGGAGCAAACAGGAUUAGAUACCCGAGUAGUC
rnacentral:rRNA from 1 species